rnacentral:rRNA from 1 species
AGAGUUUGAUCAUGGCUCAGAUUGAACGCUGGCGGCAUGCCUAACACAUGCAAGUCGAACGGAAACGAUGGAAGCUUGCUUUCAGGCGUCGAGUGGCGGACGGGUGAGUAACACAUAGGAAUCUGCCCAGUAGCGGGGGACAACUUGGGGAAACUCAAGCUAAUACCGCAUACGCCCUACGGGGGAAAGCAGGGGAUCUUCGGACCUUGCACUAUUGGAUGAGCCUAUGUCAGAUUAGCUUGUUGGUGGGGUAAUGGCCUACCAAGGCGACGAUCUGUAGCUGGUCUGAGAGGACGAUCAGCCACACUGGGACUGAGACACGGCCCAGACUCCUACGGGAGGCAGCAGUGGGGAAUAUUGCACAAUGGGCGAAAGCCUGAUGCAGCAAUGCCGCGUGUGUGAAGAAGGCCUGCGGGUUGUAAAGCACUUUCAGUAGGGAGGAAACAGUAACGGGCCAAUACCCCGAUACCUUGACGUUACCUACAGAAGAAGCACCGGCUAACUCUGUGCCAGCAGCCGCGGUAAUACAGAGGGUGCAAGCGUUAAUCGGAAUUACUGGGCGUAAAGCGCGCGUAGGCGGCUUGGUCAGUCGGAUGUGAAAGCCCCGGGCUUAACCUGGGAAUUGCAUUC